rnacentral:rRNA from 1 species
UGAGGAAUAUUGGGCAAUGCCCGAAAGGGUGACCCAGCAACGCCGCGUGGAGGAUGAAGGUCGUAAGAUUGUAAACUCCUGUUAGAGGGGAAGAAUAACUAAGUUUGGAGCUUAGUAUGACUGUACCCUCAGAGAAAGCCCCGGCUAACUACGUGCCAGCAGCCGCGGUAAUACGUAGGGGGCAAGCGUUGUCCGGAUUUACUGGGUGUAGAGGGCGCGCAGGCGGAAUGGAAAGUCAGUGGUGAAAUCCUACAGCUUAACUGUAGAACUGCCUUUGAUACUUUCAUUCUUGAGUUCGGGAGAGAGAGACGGAAUUCCAGGUGUAGUGGUGAAAUACGUAGAUAUCUGGAAGAACACCAGUUGCGAAGGCGGUCUCUUGGUCCGAUGCUGACGCUGAGGCGCGAAAGCGUGGGGAGCAAACA